GGAAGCUUUUCUAUUUCCUUGUUCCUAUUUACAUUAGUUGUCCCAAUGCUAAGCGACCCCCCAUCAUGUCUAUCCCCAUAAUUAUGUCGGAGGGAUCGAUUGAUUCGAUUGCAGUAUGCAAUACGGCGGUGUGCAGAGCUCCUGGGUAUCCCAGCUGGAAGACGACCUUGAUGAAGACUGCGUUAUCUUCAUUCUCGUUUUCCUCAAUGUCGUCAAUACUGUUUUGCAACAGCCUGCCAUCCAUCAUAUUCGAUUCCGAACUAUUUUGAGCACCCAAUUUUCCGCAUAUAAAACAUCCUAGAGCUCUCUACGAUAA